rnacentral:tRNA from 1 species
AGCGGGGUAGCUCAAAGGAAGAGCAUUGUCACUGCAUGACAGGGGAUAGCGGUUCGAUUCCGUUUCCGGCUA